AUAAAAUUAUGAAAUUUUUUUCAGGUAUAUAUUAUUGUUUAAUAUUGUUUAAUUUAUUGCUUGUCAGUCAUUCACAUUUAUUAAAAAUAGUCACUUUAUUAAAUAAUGUGAGAAACUCUAUGUUCUUUGCGAAUAGACCUGAAGAUGAAUUAUGAAAGGAUGUGACAAGUAUCAGUAAUGCAGGAAGACGCAGAGGUAGAUCAAGAAGAGUAAUGAAAAGAGAGGCCUAAAUAAGGAGCAAAUUAUUGGCAUGGGAAAAAUUCCAAUACAAUUUCCUGGUCUGAACACUUCUGUGUUUAGAGGGAAAGAAUUAAUUCAACAGCUGAAACUGCUUGUAAAUCUUGAAAGAAAGCAAAAACUUAUGGAAUUACCACAAAGUCAGACCAGACCAAUGCAAAUAAAAUUAUCGCCAUUGGAAUGUGGUUGGAGGAGUGUUACAAUGGAUGGCAGAAGCAUUGAAUCAGAUCUUAUUGGAAAAGAUACAUUUGAAAGUUUUGAAACCUGGAUUUUGGAAAACAAAAUGAUAACUUGUAUGACCAGUAAUUUAGCACGUAAGACUAGAAUCAAUUCAUUUAUAGUAACUGGGAAUGGAAAUGGAUUGGCUGGAUUUGCGUUAUCAAAAGCCAAAGCAUCCCUAAAGACGAUUAAAAAUAGGGCUGGUCAAAGAUUAAUGUAUAUUUCUACAUAUAAGGAACACACUGUGUUACAUGAUUUCUUUACACAGUUUACAUAGUUUGAGAAUAUAAAAAUAUUGUAAAAAAAUAUUUGUAAAGAAAAUUCAUGAAGGAUAAUGGGCUUGUUUGUCAUCAUGCGAUAAAAGCAUGUUGCGAGAGAAUUGGCAUAAAGGAUAUGUAUACCAAAGUACAAGGAGGAAUGUAAAAGCAUUCUUUGGUUGGUUUAUUGCAAUAGAAAUAUCAACAACUUGCAGAUGAAAAAUGAUAGCAUUUAGUCAAAGUUAAAUCAGAAAAUGGGAAUUAUCCAGUAGUACUUGUUUCACCAGCGCAAAUCAGAAAAUCAGAAGUACCGUCCAAUAAGUCUCUCGAUUUUAUGCAGUAUGUAAUGGACAAAAGAAUGGUGUUGAAAAAGAAGAAAUUACUGCCAUUCUUUACUAAACUUCCGUCUUACAAAAGAAAAUGGAAUGUUGGAUUUGAACGAACGAGAAACUCCGACGAAACGAAAAUACAAUUGUUAGCGAAAUAUGGAAAACUGCAUUUUCUGAUAGAAAAAUAUCCAGAGGCACAAAUAUUUUAUAAACGAAAACCACGCGAAGAUGAAACAAUAGAAUAAAGAAGCCGUAUAAUCAUUGUACUUUUAUGUAUAAACGUUUCACAAAA